rnacentral:lncRNA from 1 species
UACAGGUGAAAUUCCUUAGUAUACGGCGGAUCUGUCGGCGUGCCCGGGGAACGUGAUAUCCGGGUCGUGACAUUAAAUUUGGUCUGAAAUUUAAAAUUUGAUAUUUAAAAUUAAAAUUUUUAAUAUUAAAAUUUAAAAUUUUAAUUUCUAAUUUAAAUUUAAAAGUUAAAAUUUUAAAUUUAAAUUUAUAAGUUUAAAAUUCAAUUGUAGGGAUAAUAUUAUUAUUUUCUAUUUAUAACUACUAACUAUUCCUCUUAUUCCCAAAAACCAUCCAAACACAAUUUUUCUAGUUCCAGCUUAUACUCACAAUUUCAUCCAAAUAAAAAAAUACUCUUAUUCCUACAAAAAUCUAUAUUUGUACCUAUUCCUGGUAUAACUAGUUCCUACUAAUUUCCGAUCCAAACAGAGCUUAAUGCAUUUUUUUUACAUAAGCCAAACUCUUCGGUAUAGAGAAAUGAUGCAUGAGGUAUAAAAGUAGAGCAAUACUUCGAUACUCCAUUUUAAUCUUAGCUCUUUAUUUUUAAUUAAUGAAAGGUUAAGAUUUAUGUGGAAAAAAA